rnacentral:rRNA from 1 species
CCUACGGGCGGCAGCAGUGGGGAAUAUUGCACAAUGGGCGCAAGCCUGAUGCAGCCAUGCCGCGUGUGUGAAGAAGGCCUUCGGGUUGUAAAGCACUUUCAGCGGGGAGGAAGGCGUUAAGGUUAAUAACCUUGGCGAUUGACGUUACCCGCAGAAGAAGCACCGGCUAACUCCGUGCCAGCAGCCGCGGUAAUACGGAGGGUGCAAGCGUUAAUCGGAAUUACUGGGCGUAAAGCGCACGCAGGCGGUCUGUCAAGUCGGAUGUGAAAUCCCCGGGCUCAACCUGGGAACUGCAUUCGAAACUGGCAGGCUAGAGUCUUGUAGAGGGGGGUAGAAUUCCAGGUGUGGCGGUGAAAUGCGUAGAGAUCUGGAGGAAUACCGGUGGCGAAGGCGGCCCCCUGGACAAAGACUGACGCUCAGGUGCGAAAGCGUGGGGAGCAAACAGGAUUAGAUACCCGAGUAGUC